UGGGGAAUAUUAGGCAAUGGGGGGCAACCCUGACCUAGCAACGCCGCGUGAAGGAAGAAGGCCUUCGGUUGUAAACUUCUUUAUGAAGGACGAAGAAAUGACGGUACUUCAUGAAUAAGCCACGGCUAACUACGUGCCAGCAGCCGCGGUAAUACGUAGGGGGCAAGCGUUGUCCGGAAUGACUGGGCGUAAAGGGUGUGUAGGCGGUUUUACAAGUUAGAUGUGAAAUACCCAGGGCUUAACUCGGGUGCUGCAUCUAAGACUGUAAGACUUGAGUGUCGGAGAGGUAAAUGGAAUUCCUAGUGUAGCGGUGGAAUGCGUAGAUAUUAGGAGGAACACCAGUGGCGAAGGCGAUUUACUGGACGAUAACUGACGCUGAGGCACGAAAGCGUGGGGAGCA
rnacentral:rRNA from 1 species